UUGAACCGGAAGUGUUUUAGAAAGUCUUCUGGUUUGGUUGGUUGUAUACCGGAACUCUUUCUUAAAAACUUCCGAUUUGGAUGAACUAAACCGGAACUCUUUUAAGAAGUGUUCCGGUAGUCAACCUUUUAUUUAUCCACACCGGAACUCUUCUUUGAAGUGUUCUGGUGCGUUUUUUUUUUUUAAUUUUUAAUUUUUUUU
rnacentral:lncRNA from 1 species